rnacentral:rRNA from 1 species
CCGCACAAGCAGUGAGUAUGUGGUUAAUUCGAAGCAACGCGAAGAACCUUACCGAGGCUUGACAUCCCCUGACCGCGUAUGAAAGUACGUUUUCACCUCGGUGACAGGGAGACAGGUGGUGCAUGGUUGUCGUCAGCUCGUGUCGUGAGAUGUUGGGUUAAGUCCCGCAACGAGCGCAACCCCUACGUUUAGUUGCUAACGCGUGAAGGCGAGCACUCUAGACGAACUGCCGUUGACAAAACGGAGGAAGGUGGGAUGACGUCAAAUCAUCAUGCCCCUUAUGUUCUGGGCUACACACGUGCUACAAUGGCCGGUACAGACGGACGCAAAGCCGCGAGGUGGAGCAAAUCCUAAAAAGCCGGUCUCAGUUCGGAUUGCAGGCUGCAAUUCGCCUGCAUGAAGUCGGAAUCGCUAGUAAUCGCAGGUCAGCAUACUGCGGUGAAUACGUUCCCGGGCCUU